UGAACGCUGGCGGCGUGCCUAACACAUGCAAGUCGAACGAAGCAUACGGACCGGAGAUUCGUCGAAGGACCGUAUGACUUAGUGGCGGACGGGUGAGUAAUGUAUGAGCAACCUGCCUUUCAGAGGGGGACAACAGUUGGAAACGACUGCUAAUACCGCGUAACGUAUCGUGGGGGCAUCCUCGUGAUACCAAAGGAGCAAUCCGCUGAAAGAUGGGCUCAUAUCUGAUUAGCUUGUUGGCGGGGUAACGGCCCACCAAGGCGACGAUCAGUAGCCGGACUGAGAGGUUGAACGGCCACAUUGGGACUGAGAUACGGCCCAGACUCCUACGGGAGGCAGCAGUGGGGAAUAUUGGGCAAUGGGCGAAAGCCUGACCCAGCAACGCCGCGUGAAGGAAGAAGGUCUUCGGAUUGUAAACUUCUUUUAUGAGGGACGAAGGACGUGACGGUACCUCAUGAAUAAGCCACGGCUAACUACGUGCCAGCCGCCGC
rnacentral:rRNA from 1 species